GUCUCGUUCGUCUAGAGGCCUAGGACAUCGCCCUCUCACGGCGGCAACACGGGUUCGAAUCCCGUACGGGACGCCA
rnacentral:tRNA from 1 species